GAUGAACGCUGGCGGCGUGCCUAUUACAUGCAAGUCGAGCGAAUGGAUUAAGAGCUUGCUCUUAUGAAGUUAGCGGCGGACGGGUGAGUAACACGUGGGUAACCUGCCCAUAAGACUGGGAUAACUCCGGGAAACCGGGGCUAAUACCGGAUAACAUUUUGAACCGCAUGGUUCGAAAUUGAAAGGCGGCUUCGGCUGUCACUUAUGGAUGGACCCGCGUCGCAUUAGCUAGUUGGUGAGGUAACGGCUCACCAAGGCAACGAUGCGUAGCCGACCUGGGGGGGUGAUCGGCCACACGGGGACUGAGACACGGCCCAGACUCCUACGGGAGGCAGCAGUAGGGAAUCUUCCGCAAUGGACGAAAGUCUGACGGAGCACCGCCGCGUGAGUGAUGAAGGCUUUCGGGUCGUAAAACUCUGUUGUUAGGGAAGAACAAGUGCUAGUUGAAUAAGCUGGCACCUUGACGGUACCUAACCAGAAAGCCACGGCUAACUACGUGCCAGCCGCCGCAGUAA
rnacentral:rRNA from 1 species